rnacentral:misc_RNA from 1 species
AUCUAUAACGUCGGGGGCCGGCCUGGGAAAGCGUACCCGUGUGGUGUUGGGAUAGCCAACAUAAACGCUUUACCUCCCUGCCCUGUCUGAACAUACCCCUGUUUUUUGUGUACCAACUGUUUCCUCGGUGGGCUUGCCUGCCAGUAGGACAUCAUAUAACCUUUUGUAAUUGCAAUCAGCGUCAGAGAAACUUAAUAGUUA